GGGUAAAAUGGGGGGGCGCAGCGUGGGGUGUACGUAGGUGGACAGCGGUGGCCGGAUUUACUGGGCGUAAAGUGCGCGGGCGGUCGUACAAGUCGCGGGUGAAAGCCCCCGGCUCAACUGGGGAGGGUCACGCGAUACUGUUCGACUCGAAGGCAGGAGAGGGAAGUGGAAUUCCCGGUGUAGUGGUGAAAUGCGUAGAUAUCGGGAGGAACACCAGUGGCGAAGGCGACUUCCUGGCCUGUUCUUGACGCUGAGGCGCGAAAGCUAGGGUAGCAAACGGGAUUAGAUACCCGUGUAGUC
rnacentral:rRNA from 1 species